rnacentral:rRNA from 1 species
CCUACGGGAGGCAGCAGUGAGGAAUAUUGGUCAAUGGCCGAGAGGCUGAACCAGCCAAGUCGCGUGAGGGAAGACGGCCCUACGGGUUGUAAACUUCUUUUGUCAGGGAGCAAUUGGGUCCACGCGUGGGCUUAGCGAGAGUACCUGAAGAAAAAGCAUCGGCUAACUCCGUGCCAGCAGCCGCGGUAAUACGGAGGAUGCGAGCGUUCUCCGGAUUUAUUGGGUUUAAA